rnacentral:rRNA from 1 species
UGCAAUGCCUAAACAUCCUAAAGGCACCAAAUCACAUCUAAUCUCUGAGGCUAAGCAGAGUCAGCCCUGGCUAGUACUUGGAUGGGGGACCGUCAACAAAUACCAAGUGCUGUAGGCU